UACGUAGGGGGCAAGCGUUGUCCGGAUUUAUUGGGCGUAAAGAGCGUGUAGGCGGCUUUGCAAGUCCGUUGUGAAAACUCGAGGCUCAACCUCGAGACGCCGGUGGAAACUGCAAAGCUAGAGUCCGGAAGAGGAGAGUGGAAUUCCUGGUGUAGCGGUGAAAUGCGCAGAUAUCAAGAGGAACACCUGCGGCGAAGGCGGGUUGCUGGGCCGACACUGACGCUGAAGCGCGAAAGCUAGGGGAGCGAACGGG
rnacentral:rRNA from 1 species